GCUCUCGUAGUUCAACGGAUAGAACGACCCUCUCCUAAGGGGUAAAUAUAGGUUCAAUUCCUAUCGAGAGCA
rnacentral:tRNA from 1 species